rnacentral:miRNA from 1 species
AGAGGAAUGAGCACUGGACUUGGAGUCAGGAA